CAAUAGCGUAUAUUAAAGUUGUUGCGGUUAAAAAGCUCGUAGUUGGAUUUCUGCUGAGAACGACCGGUCCGCCCUUUGGGUGUGUAUCUGGCUCUUUCUUGGCAUCUUCUUGGUGAACGUUGCUGCACUUGACUGUGUGGAGCGCUACCCAGGACUUUUACUUUGAGGAAAUUAGAGUGUUUCAAGCAGGCAUACGCCUUGAAUACAUUAGCAUGGAAUAAUAAGAUAGGACCUCGGUUCUAUUUUGUUGGUUUCUAGAGCUGAGGUAAUGAUUAAUAGGGAUAGUUGGGGCAUUCGUAUUUAACUGUCAGAGGUGAAAUUCUUGGAUUUGCUAAAGACGGACUACUGCGAAAGCAUUUGCCAAGGAUGUUUUCAUUG
rnacentral:rRNA from 1 species